CCAAUAGCGUAUAUUAAAGUUGUUGCAGUUAAAAAGCUCGUAGUUGAAUUUCGAGACCGGCUUACUGGUCGUGCUUUUGUACGUACUGGUAUAAUCGGUUUCUCCUUUCUGACGAACUAUAAUGCCAUUAAUUUGGUGUUAUAGGGAAUCAGGACUGUUACUUUGAAAAAAUUAGAGUGUUUAAAGCAGGCUCACGCUUG
rnacentral:rRNA from 1 species